rnacentral:rRNA from 1 species
ACGAACGCUGGCGGCGCGCCUUACGCAUGCAAGUCGAACGCCCCGAUUUAUCGGGGAGUGGCGGACGGCUGAGUAACGCGUAGGUAAUCUGCCCAGUGGUGGGGAAUAACUCGCCGAAAGGCGGGCUAAUACCGCAUAAGUUUCCGGGGUGAAAGCCCCCGGUUGGAAAGCAUUUAUGCGCCACUGGAGGAACCUGCGUCCUAUCAGGUAGUUGGUGGGGUAAUGGCCUACCAAGCCUAUGACGGGUAGCUGGUCUGAGAGGACGACCAGCCAGAAGGGGACUGAGACACGGCCCCUACUCCUACGGGAGGCAGCAGCGAGGAAUCUUGGGCAAUGGGCGAAAGCCUGACCCAGCGACGCCGCGUGAGGGAUGAAGGCCUUCGGGUCGUAAACCUCUUUUGUGGGGGAAGAAGUUCUGACGGUACCCCACGAAUAAGCCACGGCUAACUACGU